ensembl:lncRNA
CACACACACACACACACAGCAGGAGGCAGCCUUGGCAUUCACUCACCCAGACCAAUCAACACCCAACCAGAGUAGAAGAGGAAACGCUACAACUCCACAUAAUUAAUCACACAGCUCACAAAAAUUAAUGACCAAGACACAGGAAUUGCCAAACACACUAAACGACAAUAUUCAGUAAUAACCAUCUCAACAUGUCUAUACCUCCUCAUAAAGUUAAACCAUCUCAGCUAAUCGAGCUUAUGAAAUAAUAAAUCUCACCAUGCUAUCAGAAUAAUCUGUUGCAUGAUCAAAUGUAUAACACUAGAGGCACUGCCAUUAGGGGCAGCUGCUUUAACAAUAUGAUAUUUAUAUCAAAAUAAGCUUUUCUGUGAGAAUCAUGAGAAUCAUUUCUGUACUUCAACAUCGACUAACUUCACUAUUAAACCGUUGUGCGAUUUCAUCAGUCUUUCAGGAGUAUCGCUUGUCACACUGUAUGAACUGAUCCAAAUGAAAACGUGGCUGAAUUCUACAGCAGAAUGUGUAAUAAACACGCUCUCCAUGUCACAUAAUAUGAUGCAGAUCCUCUAAUGAUAAACACAUGACUGAAGAAAAUGACUACAUUCUGCAUGUCAUCAAUCUAAAUAGUUUAUUGUAUCAUUUAUUUGUAAUAUUGUAAUUGUAAUUGAAUGAAAAACAUUGCACACGUUGUGGUACAUAUUUUAGAUGUUCCAAAUUCAUCCUCAGCUGAACUAAAUAUCAUUACGUGUAUAAUCAAUAUCGUGUGCCAUUUCUGUUGUGUGGUUAGAUGAAAAAGUUUGAAAUCCCCAUGAGCUCUGGUUCAAAAAAUAAAUAAACAAAUAAAUAAAUAAAGAAGAAGAAGAAGAAAAUCACCUCCAUUUUACAAUUUAUUUACCAAUGAAGAAAAAUUCCAAGAAGUUAUAAAUUAAAUGUUGGUAUAUCUUGCAAAACAUAAGACAAUAUAACAAAACAAAACAACAACAAAAACAUUCUGAGUCUUCAGCGUGGCUAUUCGCAUUAAAGAUAUCUUGAAUGAAGGAUUUAUUCGAAUAUUAUGUAACAUAUGAGAACAUUAAGCCUAUUUCUAGACAUAUUUAAUCAUUUCAAGCUUAAAACGAUCUUAUUCUAUUGGCAGAUCUUUUUUCUUCUUUCUAGAAAUAAAUACUUGAAAUACGCAAAAUUAUCUACCAAUAGAAUAAAACAAGUUCUAGCUUUAAAUAAGUAUAGAAAUAUCUAGAUAUAAUCAUAUAUUUGUUUAAAAAAAUCAAGUAAAGAAAUAUUUGUUGCAUUUGCCAUAUUCAGGACAUUUUACUUGCUAACGUCUUUUUUGCGAGUGUUGGUUUACCUUUUUCUAUUGCUGUAUUUCUGACUAAUGAAUGAAAGAGUUUUGCAGGUAUGUUUUCAGCCGUACACAUUCACUGUUUUUGCUUUUUGGUUUGUUUAAUGUUGUUGCAAUCUGAAAUCUAACCAAACCAAAGAGGAACCAAACCAAAAGUAUGAAUUUCAAUAAAUGGACUAAAAGUAAUGGAUAAAUAUCUACUUGGUAUACAUUAGAUUUAUUUAUUUAUUUAUUUUUCAGUUUGAGGCCUUUUUUUAUUUAAUUUUAAGCGUAUGCAAUUUUUGUUUCGACUAAUACUCUUCGUUUAAUUUGCAGUAUCUCAUGUAAAAAAAAAAUGAACAAAAUUAAUGUUUAUAAAGAGAAGAACUGUUUCAUGCACAUGUACAGCUCACACAAAUGAACACAUUACUGGAUAACAGGCUAUUGACAUUAGACUUGCCUGAAGCGUUUAAUAAUCACACUGUGUUAUGUUGGUGUGUGUAUGUGUGUGAGAGAGAGAGAGUGUUUGCUCGGUCUGUUUUCCUCUACACACUACACGUGAAUCAUGAAGGCACAUUUUUCCCCGCCACAGGAAGAGAGCGGCUGGAUUUUCCUGGAGGUGUUUUGCAAAAGCACGGCUCUGUGCUCAUGAGUGCGUAGCGUUGUUUGGUAAACACUCGCUCUGUUGCCAGGCAGACCUGCACCUUGGUUGCACCAAUCACAGCUCAGGAUGAUAGGCCAACAAGGUUAGUGCUGUAACGAGCACACUCUUUACACUAACUCAGAGACGGAGUGCCGUGCUGCCAUGGUGUCCUCAUUAAACCCCCAAUCAUGCCGCGCCGCGCCGUAAAUAGAGCACAUGCAUACAUAAUAAACAGGAACGCACUUUAUUAGCAGAAUUGCACUUGGCAGGUCAGAUUACUCAUUAAACUGUGUGAUGUGUGUUCAAAUAUUUUACCGUACAAUCGUUUGAGUUAUGGGGAAAACAGAGGAAGGAUUACAGAUCUCAAGGACCACAGAUUUGUGUGUGGGCAUGUGGUCAUGGAAUAUCUGACAGGUUUUUAUCUUGUGGGGACAUUUGUCUGGUUCCCAUGAGGAAAUCUGCAGCUUUUAUUUGAGAAACUAAAAGAGUCGAAAGGUUUCCAUUUUGGUUACUGAGAUUAAGGUUUGGGUUAGAUUUAGGUGUCAUAUAUCAUCUACAUUAAUUAUUAUGCUAGUGGAAGGUCCUCAAUAGGAUAUAAUACAGGAUUGUGUGUGUGUGUGUGUGUGUGUGUGUGUGUGUGUGUUGUCAAUCCCAGCACACCUCAUUCAGAUUCAGUUCCUGUGUUCUCCUUCCAGUACGUCAGCGCGUGAAAUGGCCCAUGGGGGGAUCUUACAAUCCCAACACGGCACGUGUUCUCAGGCUUUCGGCUCCGCCUGCACACACAAACACACACACACACACACACACACACACACACACACUAUUCUUAAUUUGUGUGACAAAUCCACUUUUUCGAAUUUCUAUAAAUAUAAAUGACCUCACACGCAAAUAUAUGAUCAACUUGAGCUGACAUUAAACAGCCUUCGCUACAAGGGCAUUCCAGGACACACAGACACACAUCAGUGAUUUUGACACACACACACACACACACACACACACACACACACACACACACACACACACACACACACACACAGAAAUGAUCUCCAAUACUUAUUAUUAAGUUCUAGGUUCGUUUGCAUUGUUCCUAUUAUUUAGUUUCCUUCAACAUCCAUCUUUACAAAGCGACCACUAUUUCACGUGUCUGUGUUGCGCACGUACAUGUUCAUCAGUUGUAGCAGGGUUGCUGUGAUUUUUAACCUAUGUCAUUGCUGGGUUGAGAAACAGUUCACCAACCAAAAAUAUCCAGCCAGCAGCAGUGCUGUGGUCGGAAAUGCACGCUGAUGGCUGAUGAACACAAACUGUGCAUGGAAAUAUUUAGUCCUAGUCUCUAAUUGUGCACACAGACUGCCAGUUCAAAAUCUUUGAACAUGUGGAGUGCUUUUACUACAGUUUCUAUUACCGUACACCCACUACUGGCAAUUAAAUAAGAAUUUAAUGUAAUAAAAAUGUCUUUGUAUUUAAGGACUUGUUUAGUGUUACUCUAAACACAGAGUCACCAAGCAGCUUUACAGAAAUCCAUAUGUAGAUUUAAAUCCGUAAUGAACAAGCCAGAGGAGACAGAGGCAAGGAUAAGCUCAUUGAGAUGACGACUGUCCUUUUGCUCUGGCUUGAGAGUUGAACAUUGUGACAGUUCACGUUUAAGAUGGAGGAAAUGUGGCGCUCUGGGCAAAGUCCUGCUGGGAAACCUUGGGUCCUGGUAUUCAUGUGGAUGUUAAAAUGUGAUUGGCUUUUGUGCUUGUGUGUGUGGAAAGGGGGGACGGGGUGUAAUACUUGAGUACAAAUAAAUGAAUAAUUCAUGAUACGUUUUAUAAUAAUUUGUGAAUGAUUAGAGGUGAAUCAUCUCUAAAUUCUGUCUGGUUCUUUUAUUGAUGGCAUACUGAUGAAUAAACCAAACUAAGCACUCUAUGAAGUCGCAAAUGGCCUAUUUUACCCUCUAUUGAAAUCUUUACAAUUUGUACUGCAAAACCCUGAAAUGUCUUUGGAUCAUAACUACUGUAGCCAUGGUAAGAGAGGACAUGCCAACCCUCUGCGUCAGGUCUGAACGUUUCUAUUUUCUUUACUUUGUGUAGAGUACAGCAAAUGAGCACUUGGAGUAGCAGAUCAGACAUGCUUAUACAUGAUACUGAUGAAAAUGUCUUGUCAUGUUUCUUGGUUCAGAUUGCGCAGAAGAGCAAGAGGGAAGCAGAAACCGAGGAUGGUAUGCAGAACUGGAGGAACCUCCAAAAAAGCACUUCAUUAAAACUGCUGCGCUGGUCCCUGACCUCCGUCCACGACCAUCCGCUUCUGCUGCCACAAGGACAGAUGAUAAAAUGGUGACUUUAGUGUUUUUUCAGUUUGACCUCAUUCACAAACACACACACACACACACAUGUAGUCUGAAAGUCAUGAUUUCCCUUGAUUUUAAUCAUAUCCGGAGUAACUAGUAACUUGAGUAGUCUUCCCAUCGUAUACUUAUUACUCUUACUCAAGUAAUCAUUAAUAUUAUUACUUUUACUUUCCAUCGUUAUGUCUUUAUCCCCACUGAACAGUUGCACCAUGAGUGUUCAGCUCUGUCUGACCAUCCAAUCUACAUGUUGGAGGUGUGAAAGCAUCUUGGCCAAAACAAUAGCAGGAAUUAUCCACACCCAACCCCAAGCACAGGUGCAAAUGGCCCAUAACCCUAAACCGACACCCUAAACCCAAAGUGUGGAGGCCAUUCCACUGAACUACCCAAAAGAUAUUUCAAAUGAAACUGCACGGAAAGUUUACAAAAACAAGAGACUAAUAGAAAAUCCAGAGACUCUAUUUGCAGACCUCCAUAAGGAUGGCAGCACCAGUAACCUGAUUUUUUUUUUACAUGAAUAAACCCCAUGCAUGACACAGAGCCAUAAUUUCAAACUUUCUCUCGGCUGAAAGGAAAGGCAUCUGUGGGUGUUUCCAGCUAAAAAAAUUAAAAAUGAGGAAGACCCAACUAUCAGCAUCAUUUAAAAAAUACUAAAAUGAACUGGGACUCGAACACCAGACGCUGGCAUAGUAAACCCUGCAUGUUGCCACUCCGCUAUACUAGUCCACAUGCUGUAGCUAUGUUAAUUUAAAUACUAUAGCUAUUGUACCUGUACUACGAGACUCGAGCCCGGUUACUUUAUAUUCUUAAAUCUUGUAAUUAGAUACUUGUUUAAACUGGGUUCAUCAUAAGUUUUGAUGGGAAAUGUAAUAUUUUUGUGAAUCAUUCGACCACACAUUCAAUUUUUUAUUUUACUGCAUUCAGCUACAGUAUGUUGCUCCAUGCGCCACCUGCUGGUUAUUGUGUGAAGCAGUGUACCACAUGAUCACGUGAAACGAAUCACAUGAAACUGCGUGAAAAAACGUGCAUUCUUAAAGGCCACAAAUGUAUUUUGACACAUAUCACCCACCUAAGCGGUGUUGCAGACCAAGUACACCCAACUGCAACAUUGUUGCAGACCAAGCAAACAAUGCAACAGUAUUCUCUAAUGGCCUCAGCAGGAUAAUGCUCUCUGCCACUCUGCAAACAUUGUUCAGGAAUGGUUUGAGGAACAAAGAGUUCAAGGUGUUUACUUGGCUUCCAAUUUCCCCAGAUUUCAAUCCGAUAGAGCAUCUGUGGGAUGUGCUGGAUAAACAAGUCCGAUCCAUGGACACCCCACCUCACAACUUACAGGACUUAAAGAAUCUGCUGAUAACAUCUUGGUGUCAGAUACCACAGCACACCUUCAGAGGUCUUGUGGAGUCCGUGCCUCAAUGGGUCAGAGCUGUUUUGGUGGCGCUAAUGUUGUGACUUACACAAUAUUAGGCAGGUGGUUAUAAUGUUACGGCUGAUCGGCGUACAAUUCAGAUGAAAUAUACAGAUUUUCCCUAGCUACAGAAAUUCUCUCCAUGCCUAUAAUCUCCUGCAUGCAGAGCACAUUUCAUACAGGUCAUCACCACGCUGUCGCAUACCUUCAAGCCCGAAGGCACUUUGGUAAUUGUCAGUUUGAAUAUAGACAUGUCAGGCAGUCAUGUUAAGCCUUGCAGGAAGUGGGAAAAUAAUAGCAGUCUUACAGUUGGCUAGAAAAAUAUAUUACAAAAGUACUUUUCAACUCUUGAACUUUUCUCUGUGUAUAUCCUUGGAUAAGCAUUUUUUAAAUUCCAAGCUUCUUUUUCCGUGUGAAAGUACAACUUGUAGAAAGUUUUUUCUCCUGAUAUGCUAACAGGCCACUACAUGUAGUUGCAGGAGUUCCUGUGCUUUCUGCUCAUUCUCCUCUUGUGUGGAGGUCUCAUGGCAGCUUGCUUACUGUUCCCUCAGCUGUGGUCCAGCAUCUGACAGAUGGCCCAGGCAGAAAAAUGCCUGACUCUUGGUUCAGCGACUCACCAAGCCACAGUAACAUACCUCAGAAAUGUCUACAAUACCCCAAGAGUCUGGCUCUGCUUCUCAUUCCUCACAGUGUACCACGGUCCGGGUGCACACAUUUACAAUUCAGAGCUACAGGUUUUUACAUUAAGAGUCUCGAGACAACUUAUAUGGCAGAGAUUUUCUCAAAUAGAUGAGCAAACCUGGGGCUUGGGGUGCAAUUGAAAACGGAACAGACAUUGAAAAAUACUGGAUAUAUAAAGUGAGAGCAUAUUUCCAGCCAUCCACUUUUUUUUAUAUCAAGUGCUCUAUUGGAGAAAUGAAAUGGAAUGGAGCAGGACCACACCACAUCACUCAAAUCCAAAUCGCUGUGAUGAAAUCAAGUGUGAAGAAAUAAGACACUGAAAAAACUCCACACAAGCAUAUACACGCUUCAACUAGAACACAGACCAGGUGAAUUAGGCAUAAACACACACACACACACACACACACACACACACACACACACACACACACACACACACAAACUCUUCUGAAUAGAGGCUUUCAAUCCUCUAAGCAGAGUAAAUAAGUAAGCACACCUGCAUGUGUGGGUGACAAACUAAGUGCAGAGCUGACGUCUGUCUACUGUACACACUACAGACAUCACAUUCCUUCCAUAAUUACUUUCAAAGAUUCAGUAAUCAAAUCUAUUUUUAAUAAUAAUUAGCCUAUAAUUCUAGACAGCAAAUAUAUGCAAAACCACUACAAUAUGUGUUCAUAAACCUUUUUUUCUAAUGAAAAGACAAUCACAGAAGCAAUAUUAGCUUCUUUUUUUUUUAUUAAGCCACCCCAGCACCCAGUUUGGCCUUCCUAUUCACUCUAUAGGCUCACUACACAGGGUAUUCCAUAAGGCUAUUAAUAUAUAUAAAAAUAUAUAGCUAUUAAAAAAACAAAAACAUUAAUUCAUCUCUGUAACGGCUUCAUCCUGAUCAGGGUUGCAGUGAAUAUGGAGCCUAUUCCAGGACUAGGUGUCAACGCUAUCCUGUAAAUAUCCUAUUAACACUAUCCUCUGAACAUAUGAAUAUGAAAAUAAAAAAAUGUGAAAAUAAAGUGGUAAGGCCCACUCAAAACCCCCUCUUUUUAAAAAUAAAAAUGUGUACAAUUAGGCCUGUCAUGAUAAUUAUGUUAUCGUACAAUAUAUGGACAUGACCUUGAUCAUUUUUGACCUCGAUAUUGCCCAUCGUGUUUAUACGUGUUUGCUAACCAAAGAAUGAAUGUCAACAACAUUUUAGCCAUUUGCUAAAAUACUAUGUCUAAACAGAGCACUAAAACAUGAACAAUGAAUAAAUAAAGCAUAAAGAAUUCACAAUAUUGUAUUGCAGUAGUGUAUUCAUUGUAAUGUUAUUAUUUAUUCAACGUUAUUAGUCAACGGCAUUGUAGCUGAUGAUAUCAGCCUAUGUACAAUAAUAUUAUGGAUAUUUAUUAGAGAAAAAGAGUUUUUUUUAUUUCUUCCCACUUACAGAAAAUAUUUUAUUAAACUGUCACUCAAGUUGACAUUAUUUACACGCCCACGUUUUUGUUUGUUUUUUGUUUUUAAUUAUUGAGAUUUCGAUUAAACCCGCUCAAUUCAAGAAACCAGUUAAACAUGCUAGUAAUUAUAAGAGGUCAAUAAGAAAUAUAGCAACUUUGGUAAUGGUAUGUUGUGACUUGAUUUCCACCACUGGAACAACAUUUGGGUUCAGUCUAUGCUUCACGGAUCCCCGGGAUACUUGGAAACCACUUUGUGAAACUGUGAGACAAACAGGAACUGAAACGAGUGUUCCUGCAGUGUAUUGUAUAUUCUGAGAAAGCCAAUUGACCGGUAAGAUCUCUCUCUAUUUCUCUAAUACACACAGCGCCGACCGCUGGGCUACGUUCCUCGCUACAUACAUUAACGUGCACUCGCUCUUAUUGUAUCUUUUCCAUGUAUUGUCUGAAAUGGAACAAGAGCUCUCUAUUGUAAAGAUAUUAGAAAGCGCAGUGGGGGGUUGUGUAGUCGUGACAUGAAGCAGCUCUCUUUUUUAGAUCAAAUUAAGCAUUAAUAAGAAACUGCUUCAAAAGAAUUUGAAAAGAGAGUAAUGCAUACUAGUAAACAAAAGAAUAUCACUGAGCGAAAAUAGAUUCCCUUCCUUAACAUUUACCUGCAACAAGAAAAGUAAGUGCACAGUUAUCACCAGCACACUUCUUAUUUCACAAAUCAGUAUGUUAACAGAGUUAAUGUACGCGAUGUAUUACAGCUGCCAAAAUAAAUUUCACUGUUCAAAUACUAUUUAAACAGGAAAUAUAUCCAUAUUUAAAGUAUUACUUAUAGUCAUUAAUAUCUGUGUAAUCCGUUGAAACGUACAGGUAUUUCCAGCAUCUAUUUUUGUCUAAAUGACAUUUAUGUUUGCCUCACACCACGAAUCCUGCUUCUGCCCUGCGUGCAUGGAGUUUGCAUGUUCUCCCAGUGUUUCGGGGGUUUCCUCCAGGGACUCCGGUUUCCUCCCCCAGUCCAAAGACAUGCAUUGUAAGCUGAUUGGCAUUUCCAAAUUGGGUGUGUGAUUUUGCCUUGCGAUGGGUGGAUAAGUAGGAUGUGUAGGAUAAGCGAUGUGUAAGAUAAGCGGUACAGAAAACGGAUGGAUGGAUGGAUGGAUGGACAUUUGUGUUGCCUGAGAUAGGAAAAGGACUCUCAAUAAAUAUCAUUAACAACAUAAUUUAUUUUAACAUAGUUUUCAAUCAUUUUCUUACUGUAACUAUACAACAAACAAACAAAAUGUGUUUGAGAGAGAGGUGAUGGUACAUGUGAGUAAUUUCGGACUAUUGGAGUCUUUCCUCUUCUGUGGCUGAAGCUCAAUUAAGAGUUAUACUGAGCAUUUAGAGCACAAUGUUAGUAUAGUGAUGCUAUAUUGUUUACUCUUCUACUGAGAGAAGAAUGAGCACUCCUAAUCAGCUUAUAAUUUGAUAUUAAACAUUCAUCCAUUUCUCUUCGUCACUCCAUGCUGGCCUGCUGUGCUCUCUCUCUCUCUCUCUCUCGUUCGCUCUCUCUCUCUCUGUGAGUGAUUGUCCAAGCAAAGGUCGACAUUCAAAACCACACACUGCUAAAGUUAAUACUAUACCCUCAUUAGUGAGAAAAUGUUUUGACAUACUAUUCAGUACGUUACUUUGUGGUUUUGGACAUAGUCAGUGACAGAGAUAGGUCUUGUUCCAAGUAUCACUCUGAAAGUAUUAUUUCAUUUCCAGCAUUACAUUUUCAGCAGCCCCACCAAAAUCAUGGCCACAAUUUUGGGUGGGGCAAACCAACAUUAAUAACAAUACUAACAGCCUCAAACAAUAUCUAAGAGGCUUGACUUAUGCCAUAGACUACUAUCUAGUGAAUUUUUUUAAUAUCUCACAAACAGGCAGUUGCGAGUUGACAGCAUACCAUGAUCCAGCUCACAGUUCAGCAGCUCGCCUUGAGCGGAGGUAAUAUCAUUAACCAGGGUUGACAGGUUUCAGCAAAAUUUCCAGCCCAACUACAUUUCAAAAACCACAUGAAAUACCUGAAUCUAGCCCAACAAUUUGGGCACUGGAAAAGGGAAAUUUUUUUUUUCCUCAGCCAUACGCAGGGGAAACAAGGAAUUCACACAUAUUUCUGACUGCACCAACAUUAUCCACUCCAUAAUCCCUCUUUCCCUCACGAAAUCUUUACAAUAUACUCUAUUUUACAACAGAAAUGGUUUUGUACCUCAUAGACACAAUGUAUGUACUUACACUUUGCUCAUCUGUGGAAACUUAUUACAUUUAAUUCAGAUUAUUUGGUAUAAAUCAAAAUCUUGGUGCUCAUGGAUUAUUUAUAAACUUGCACAAUUUGGCUACCCUGUCAUUAACUGCCCUGACUGCUCCACCUCCACUUAAAAUGUUCAUAGUGCAAGCAUGAGCCAGAAUGAUUUCUGCCCCAUGGAUCUCUAUUAGCACUGGUUGCAGUUCCUAUUUUGACCACUAUGAUCAUAUGCAAUAAUAACUCUAUGGAAGCUAAUUAAGGCAGUGCGCAAGCCAUGACUGUGCAAAAUCUAGAAACGUGAACAAAUCAAUGGGAAAUUGGAUUAUAUCUGUCAAAUAACUUUUUUUUAAUCACUGGUCAUUUCAAAGAGGUAAUUAGUAUUUCAGCAGAAUUUAAAAUGUAUGGAGUCGUUAAUAAUGACUUUAUGAAGAUUAGUUGUUGAACAGCUGAAAUAAAGACAUGCUGCCACUGUUCAUUUCUAUCAUUUUUACCAUGAACAAUCUCAUGCAGAAAUCCAUACUGCUCCACCACAAGCCAUCUCAGUACUACGCAAGCAGAAGAGAAGAGACCUCUGAGAUUUGUAACGAGUAAAUAAAUAGUGAUAGUAAGGAAAUAAAUAAAUACAGGUAUUCAACUUCAAUAACACUGAAGUAAAGUUUAAAUAUCCCAAAAUAAUAUGUACGUAUAAUAACAUAGUACAAUUAACCCUGGGUAUACUAAGAAAAUAUAACUGGACCUGCUAUUAAAAUCUUUAUGAAGAACAGAGCGAUUGAAUUUUCCUCAUCAACUACAAAAACACUGGAACAGGUUAUCAUUAAUAUUCAUAUCAGUAAUGGCUACUUUACUUCUCUCUUUUAAACAUGAGAUGAUGUUGGGUGUGUGAGGUGUGUGUGUGGUCCUGCAUUCUUGUCCGGUAUAUAUAUUCCCAUCUCUCUCCAAUUACACACACACACAUGUAAACACACACACACACACAUAUAUUAGUUUUGCUAGAUUUGUGAGGACCUUCCGUUGUUAUAUUUAUUACUGUAGUUAAUUAAUAUCGAAAUACCUAACAAUAACCUUAACUUCAGUCCCCAACCUUCAGGCUCUUUUUUAUUACCAAUAAAAGCUGGGUUGAAAACAAUAAUAUUUAUUUGUGAGGACAGUGUAUUGCAAGGAUAUCUGGUACUACCCUAUAAUUCCAAGGACAUUUAUUCCUUUGUGCUUACCCUUUACAAAGAACUAUAUACAUGCCCAAUCAGACACACACACACACUUCCCACUCAAGGUCAGACAGCGCGGGAGUGAUUGGAGAUGACAUCAUUACUACAACAGCUCUAAAGACAAGAUCAAUAGACGAGUUGCCCUGGGCUGAGGCGUGAGCUCAUCUUCUCAGCCAAGACCUGAUGACUACAAUCUUCCAAUGUGUGCAUAAAGUGAGUGAGUGUGUGUGUGUGUGUGUGUGUGUGUGUGUGUGUGUGUGUGUGUGUGUUGGACAGAAAGGGAAAAUGCAUUAUACAGCACACACAAGUAAAUCCAACUAGCAGGCUGGUAUCUGAGCUGUGAAUCCCCUACGAUUUUAAUAAUAAGAAAUGACUGUACACAACCGUUCACAUGCUAAAAGGUGCUCCCAGCUUAUCAGCAGCAUUAACCCUCCUUUAUUCUCUCUCACACACACACACACACACACACACACACACACACACACACACACACACACACAACACAGUGGCACCUAAAUAAGGCUUAAUUUACGUUUAGACCAAGCUUCAAUGGUUCGCUGGAAAUGUGGUAUUUAUAACUGCUUAUGUCCUACAUGCUGUUCCUAGUCCAACAAAUAAAUCACAGCGAGGUCAAACUCAUAACUGGCAAUCUCAAAUCUCAAUUAGCAUUCAACCCCACUUCUCUGUUCCUCAGCGAUGCUAAGGCAAAGCAACACUUAAGGUAGAGAAAAUCACACUCAUACGUUCCCUGCGUAAAGGCUAAAUAGGUGCCGUAUGGAAAGCUCUUCUGCCUGCUUAGACAAGGUGAACUGGAGAAGAUUUAUUCAUCCCUACGCUGUGCUGUGCUUUCCUUUCCCCUCCUCUCUCCUCAUUGUCUCUGUGGCAUCAGUCUGAUGCAGAGAUAGUCACGUCCUCGACCUGUGCUAACGUAACAAUCAGGACAAAAGCAGCAGUAAGCAGAUAGCACCAUGUCUCUCGAGUUACCACGCCGUACUGGAACAACCUCUAAGUCUGGGUUGACCAACACCAUUGUCCAGCAAUUAUCAUACAAAGCCAUUCAGGACAUAGGUGUACGUUACGAUCAGCCACUGUUGUAAAUCCAGCAGGUCGAGGAUCGGUUUUCCCGUCCACUACUUAAAGUUGUUAAGGCAGGUUUGCUAAAAUUCCGAGCUUAAACUUUGGGAGACAGAGCCAAGGCCGGCUUCUCCAAGAUGUAUUCAAGAUGGCCACCCUAGUACAUUACUGCAUUCAGCUCUUCUGUCAGCUGUGUCCUAAACCACAUCAGUAUGAAGUUUCAGGCAGAUAUUUAUAUCAAUCAUUCCACUUUAGAUAGUCGUCCAUUAGAUACACUCCCUCUAUCUCCUUGUGCACAAUUAAAGAAAGCAACACCAAAUAUGUCAAGGUUAAUCAACAUCUGGGUUCAGUAGAAAAACUGUGUAAGUUUGACUUUUUUGCUGUACUGUCACUUUAAGACAGUGAGAACGAGCACAUACAUGUAGACAGAACGGAAACCGAUAAAGGUGGAGAAGUCAGUGUAUGCAAACAGAAAAGUAGGCAGAGAGAGAGAGAGAGAGAGAGAGAGAGAGAGAGAGAGAGAGAGAGACCAAAGUGUCUGCCAAACAUUGUCAAUCAGCUGUGCACAUACUGUUCAUAUACUGCAGUUAGUUUGUAGCCAGGCAGGAGGCGCUGUUCUGUAGACUGCACUGGCAUCUUAAAUAAAUCCAGACUCCAUUAUUACAGCUCAAUGCAGUGAGUGUAAUGCUGAUCUCAUAUGAAUUUGUUAGGCCUUUCUGACCAUAAACACAGCAUAAAUAGUGCUGCCUGGUCAACACAUAUAGCAGUAUUGCAUCACUCCACACAAAAGAAGUAUUGGAAAAGAACAAAUUACAGAUAAAAAUCAGUCAUCUAUAUUAUUACACAGCAAAGCAUAUUCAUACUGUAAUCAAUCAUUAAACCCACACAGUGAUCUGAGAUAUGGGCUGGCUGAACAGAGCCUGAAAAAGGAUAUGAAGGAAGGAAGGAUAGAAGGAAGUAAGGUAUGGAAUUAAAUUUGUGCCAAAAGUAUUGGACUUACCUUUUCAAGAAACAUACAAGGAGAAAGAAGAAAAACACACUGAAACUGAAAACAGCGAACUCAGCGGCAAACAUUUAACAUGGUCUUCACAUACACGGCAUUCUUUUUAAUAGUUUCUAAGCUUUUUAACAGCGAUUUACUCUCGAUUUACUCGAGUGUCCAGCUGAGGAGAAGGAGGAUGGCGAUGAUGAUGAUGACGACGAAGACAACGAUGUUCCUGAGAGCUCAUCUUGAAAAAAUUGUCGUAUAAGACUACCCAAACCUCAAAUAUUAAUUACGAAUGAAUAUACUAAGUAAGUCAUUUCCACUACAAAGUACAAACACUAUAACUAAAAAUGGCAAAUGGCACACUUAUAUAGCACUUUUAUACAAAGCACUUUACACUGGGUCUCACUCACCUAUUCACACACACACACCAACAGUAGCAGAGCUCCCAUGCAAGGCGCUAACUUGCCAUCGGGAGCAACCUGGGGUUCAGCGUCUUGCCCAAGAACACUUCGGUAUGUGGAGUCAUGCAGGCCAGGAAUCGAACCGCCAACCCUACGAUUAGUGGACAACCCUCUCUACCAACUGAGCCACAGCUGCCCCAACUAUACAGCGAACAGCAUCCAGAACGCUCUCCAAAAUUCUCGACAGUGAAGUCAGGGAGAUGACCAUCUAAAGACCAUGUUAUAUUUUUGACACUAAGUUUCAAUUCCAGAGUGUUUUUCUUCUUUCUCAUUGUAUAUUUUCUUGAAUAGUUACGGUCAAUACUUUUGGCACAAAUUUAAUUCCAUAGUCCUGAAGCAGUGGUGGACUUUCCAUAGGUACAGGUGGGGCAGAGCCCAUCCAUAUACAUCAAAUAUAUCAAUAUACUGACUGAUACUAUACCAUAUAUUCAACAAAUGUUAUUCUUCAAACCACUUACAUUUUAAAUUCUGCUAAAAUACAAAUUAAUUCUUUUGAGAGACUAAAAAAAAAGUUGCAAUCGUUGGGGCAGCAUGCUCAUGGCCCCAUUUACCUCCAUAGAAUUACUGUUGCACAUAAUGGUCAAAAUUGGAACUGCAACAAGUGCUAACAGAGGCCCACUGGGGCAGGAAUCACACUGCCCCAUGCUCGCUCCCUCAUUUUGUUUCUGAUUGGGGGAGGGGCAGCUGACAGGACUGAUAACAGUAUUGCCUCUUUUGUGUUCGUCUUGCACACUGUGAAACUGGAUUCUUGACUGUAUUACUUUUUAAACACAGCUGAACACGUGUUAUUAAAAUGAUCACUGUCAUCUAGUCUAGCCAUGGCAUUUAGUCCAUAGUUUCCAGUCUUUUACAUGAUUAGAAAGGCUGAGAUUAGCGAAUUUAAUCUCUACUGUUGUCUACCUAGCUCCAUAAAUAGCUAGGCUGUUAAUGUGUCUUUGGAGUAUAAUUAUCAGCAUAAAGAAACAAUCAUACCUGCACCGGUUGCUUAUAAAGUUAUAACGUCUGAUUUCAAUAAAGCCAUGAUCGAAAAAUGUCCACAUCUGAUAGAUCAAUGUGAUAAAUUUCUUUACAAACAAGACAAAUUACACAGCGAGGCUGUAGUAUUAUGCCAGUUUGAUUAACUAAGGGAAAUGAUUUUUGGUAAGGCUAUUCGUCUGUGAUGUGACGCUAACUUUUAGACCAGAUUACAUCUUUCUCUUCUCUCCUUGAAAAGUGGGUUACACAAUUCGUUUGUUCAUGGUCAUUCAUGUCUUCUCAACUCUGAACUGCCUAUUAUGGGAUUAUUCUAAAACAUUUACUAGAUAGUGUGACAGACUAAAAGUAUGACAGACUAGACUAUCGACUUCAUUUCUGGUUUGAAUGAAAGAAAGAAACACAGAAAGAACGAUUCAAAGCCAUCUGAUAUAAAGGUUUAUACAGUGAAUGUUAGAUAUUGAGUAAUUCCACAUGUGCAUUGCGUAGCAGGACAGCCAGUGAACAAAGCCAAUGCUACAGCGUUAGCUCACAGCUGGGACACUAAGUUGCCUGGUAACUCAGUCACAUAAAGAUCUGGUUGCAUGGUUACAGAGCACAAGCUUGCUUUGCUGUGGUCUGUUGCGAGCAGACACAAACAUGAUUAAGAAGUCAAAGCCAAAACAAGCUACUUACCUCACUGCACAAACACACACACUACACAAAUAUGCUUUGUGAGGCUGCACACCUCAAUGAGCGCCUUUAUGCCUCCAAGACAGUGUGAUAAAAAACACCAUUAUUGUAAUUAGUAAGGUGUAAGUAAUGGCAAACUAUAGACACAUAUACUGUAUUAGAUACCUAGCCUUCUGCUUGACUGCCAAAUUAGUAAUGCCUAAAAUCUAGAACUUUUCCAAAAGAAUAUUCCUAGAAAAUAUAGCUAUAACAGAAAUGCAAAAGUUUUACUAUUAACUUAAUUUGUAAGAAUAUCACAUAACUAACUUAGCUAUUUAUCCUCUGAGAAAUCCCUCUGAGUUUAAGUCUGUUA